rnacentral:rRNA from 1 species
CUACGGGGUGCUGCAGUGGGGAAUAUUGGACAAUGGGGGAAACCCUGAUCCAGCAAUGCCGCGUGUGUGAAGAAGGCCUGCGGGUUGUAAAGCACUUUCGGUUGGGAGGACUGCUUCUAGCACUAAUAUUGUUGGAAGUUGACGUUACCUUCAGAAGAAGCACCGGCUGAACUCCGUGCCAGCAGCCGCGGUAAUACGGAGGGUGCAAGCGUGAAUCGGAAUUACUGGGCGUAAAGCGCGCGUAGGCGGCUAGAUCAGUCGGGUGUGAAAGCCCCGGGCUUAACCUGGGAACUGCAUCCGAUACUGUCUAGCUUGAGUACAGGAGAGGAGAGUGGAAUUCCACAUGUAGCGGUGAAAUGCGUAGAUAUGUGGAGGAACACCAAUGGCGAAGGCAGCUCUCUGGCCUGAUACUGACGCUGAGGUGCGAAAGCGUGGGGAGCAAACAGGAUUAGAUACCCCUGUAGUC